GUGAGGAAUAUUGGACAAUGGGCGCAAGCCUGAUCCAGCCAUGCCGCGUGCAGGAAGACGCAUCUAUGGUGUGUAAACUGCUUUUGUACGGGAAGAAACACUCCCUCGUGAGGGAGCUUGACGGUACCGUAAGAAUAAGGAUCGGCUAACUCCGUGCCAGCAGCCGCGGUAAUACGGAGGAUCCAAGCGUUAUCCGGAAUCAUUGGGUUUAACGGGUCCGUAGGCGGUUUAAUAAGUCAGUGGUGAAAGCCCAUCGCUCAACGAUGGAACGGCCAUUGAUACUGUUAUACUUGAAUUACAAGGAAGUAACUAGAAUAUGUAGUGUAGCGGUGAAAUGCUUAGAUAUUACAUGGAAUACCAAUUGCGAAGGCAGGUUACUACUUGUGGAUUGACGCUGAUGGACGAAAGCGUGGGGAGCGAACAGGAUUAGAUACCCUUGUAGUCC
rnacentral:rRNA from 1 species